rnacentral:rRNA from 1 species
UAGUGGCGAACGGGUGAGUAACACGUGAGUAACCUGCCCCUGACUCUGGGAUAAGCGUUGGAAACGACGUCUAAUACUGGAUAUGAUCACUGGCCGCAUGGUCUGGUGGUGGAAAGAUUUUUUGGUUGGGGAUGGACUCGCGGCCUAUCAGCUUGUUGGUGAGGUAAUGGCUCACCAAGGCGACGACGGGUAGCCGGCCUGAGAGGGUGACCGGCCACACUGGGACUGAGACACGGCCCAGACUCCUACGGGAGGCAGCAGUGGGGAAUAUUGCACAAUGGGCGAAAGCCUGAUGCAGCAACGCCGCGUGAGGGAUGACGGCCUUCGGGUUGUAAACCUCUUUUAGUAGGGAAGAAGCGAAAGUGACGGUACCUGCAGAAAAAGCACCGGCUAACUACGUGCCAGCAGCCGCGGUAAUACGUAGGGUGCAAGCGUUGUCCGGAAUUAUUGGGCGUAAAGAGCUCGUAGGCGGUUUGUCGCGUCUGCUGUGAAAUCCCGAGGCUCAACCUCGGGCUUGCAGUGGGUACGGGCAGACUAGAGUGCGGUAGGGGAGAUUGGAAUUCCUGGUGUAGCGGUGGAAUGCGCAGAUAUCAGGAGGAACACCGAUGGCGAAGGCAGAUCUCUGGGCCGUAACUGACGCU